UACGUAGGGGGCAAGCGUUGUCCGGAUUUACUGGGCGUAAAGAGCGUGUAGGCGGCCAAGCAGGUCCGUUGUGAAAACUGGAGGCUUAACCUCCAGACGUCGACGGAAACCGCGUGGCUAGAGUCCGGAAGAGGAGAGUGGAAUUCCUGGUGUAGGCGGUGAAAUGCGCAGAUAUCAGGAAGAACACCAAUGGCGAAGGCAGCUCUCUGGGACGGUACUGACGCUGAGACGCGAAAGCGUGGGGAGCGAACAGG
rnacentral:rRNA from 1 species